rnacentral:lncRNA from 1 species
CUCCCUUUCAGUGGCAGUUGUCUUCUCUUCUGACCAGUUGACCUGAUCAUAUGUGUAUAAUAAUAACACUUACAUUUGUAAACAGCUUGUCUCUGACCUCUUCCAAGGCAGUAACACUCUCCUCACACUACCUUUUCCUGAGCACUCUCUGAGCAACAGGCCCUGGGCUAUGAAGCCUCACUGAUUCUCAAAGCCACAUGGAAUCCUUGAAGUCACCAAAUGAUGCCAUCUGUGUUCUAGGCAAUCACAGCAUAACACAUCCCCCCUCAGAGCCUGCACACCCCACAGCCUGGCCUGGGAGCUCCAGGGCCAGUGACCCUGUACAGAAAUUUCACUUCCCCCCCAACCUGGC